CCUACGGGGGGCAGCAGUGGGGAAUAUUGGACAAUGGGCGAAAGCCUGAUCCAGCCAUGCCGCGUGUGUGAAGAAGGCCUUCGGGUUGUAAAGCACUUUCAGUGGGGAAGAAAGCCUUGGGGCUAAUACCCUCGAGGGAGGACAUCACCCACAGAAGAAGCACCGGCUAACUCCGUGCCAGCAGCCGCGGUAAUACGGAGGGUGCGAGCGUUAAUCGGAAUUACUGGGCGUAAAGCGCGCGUAGGCGGUCUGAUAAGCCGGUUGUGAAAGCCCCGGGCUCAACCUGGGAACGGCAUCCGGAACUGUCAGGCUAGAGUGCAGGAGAGGAAGGUAGAAUUCCCGGUGUAGCGGUGAAAUGCGUAGAGAUCGGGAGGAAUACCAGUGGCGAAGGCGGCCUUCUGGACUGACACUGACGCUGAGGUGCGAAAGCGUGGGUAGCAAACAGGAUUAGAUACCCGGGUAGUC
rnacentral:rRNA from 1 species